rnacentral:lncRNA from 1 species
AAGAGUAAAGUACUUCCGCUUCCUUAGGUGGAGCUGGAAAGGUGGAGGCGGAAGUGACUGAUCAAUUCAGGGGCGUGGGGUUCGUUUAGGUUUUGCCCUGUGUAUGACCUCGUUUGGAGCCAUGAAACCAGGAAGCUCUUCCACGAGUUCACGAAUGGAAAUAACAUCAAGAGUUUUUCAUCUUCUUAGUGUGCAAGGUAUGGAUAUUCUGUGUGUGAACUUCAAGAGUAUCUAAGGGAGGCAAUAACAUGGUUGAUAAUAUACCAGAGACUACAAACUGUCUGUGCAUCCCAGAGGAACAGGAAGCUUGUGCAGGUGAAAAGACUGGAGGAGGAAGUAUGUUGAUGAUACCCAGGAAGCCCACCUUCCACUUCUUUGGUCAUCAGAAAUAAAUAUCAAGGAGUGCAAUUCCUGGAUUUAUGAUGUCUGAGGAAUAGUCUUAGUGGAUUAUCCCAAACUUGACACAUUUUUUGCAAAAUGCUAUACAAAAAGAAGAUACAUGCGAUUAUGACAAGAUUCUCCACUUGGUGUGACCAGUCUCAUACAACCCAAGGCUGUGUGUCCAAAGGCAACUGUACUUCUGGGACUGGAAACAAAUUGGGAACAUUUUUCAUUGCAUAUUUGGCUCAGAUCUGCCACUUAGUUGAAGUAUAAUCUUCAGCAAGUGACUCAAAAUUUCUGAAUCUCGUUUUCACCAUCAAUACAUGACAAUAGUAAUAUUUUCUCCUUUAAGUAUUUGAAAGUGUUGAGAAAGCCACAAUAGCAACACUUGCAAAAGUGCUCCAUUGUAAAAUGCAAAGGAGAGGUAGUUGUGACCCUUUGGGGAAAACUAUAGUUGCCACAAUUGUCUCUGAAAUGAAGCAUGUUUCUUAGACUGAAGGAAAGCCCUGGGAGAGAUUGGUCUAGCUUUAGGAUGACUGUGGGUAGAGCUUCUAGGGAGAAGAAUGAAACGUAUUCCUCUUUUCCUUUUCUCUAGGAAUACCGGAAAGCAUGUAUUUGUUUGCUAAAUUGCUCUCUUUCCACCAGUGAUAUCAAUUCUGAAAUACUUUUGAGAUCUUGACAAUAAUCAAAAGGUAGCCAGGUGCAUCGGGGAAAGCACUGACAUUGGAGUCAGACAGACUGAAGUUCAUAUCUGAUUCUGCUAUAUGACAACGUGUGGGCUAUGUGGCUAACUUCUCAGAGCUUCAGUUUUCUCAAGGGCAAAAUGAAAAUAAUAGAAAUAAUAGAAUCCACCUCACAGGGCUGUGGUGAGAAUUGGAGAUGAAGCACAUACAGCAUAUUACAUCAACUAAACACAUGCUAAAAAUUAAAGGGGAUGAAAGAUACAUUGGUCCCUGCAGUGGGAAGUUUCCUUGACAAUGCAAUUAUUGAUUCCAGAAGGCUGAACAAAUGUUGACAGAGGAACACACUGUUUGCUUAUGUCUAAUCUUCCCAUCUGACUUAUAUAAAUGUCACAAAUGAAUCUCAGACAUGUGCCCAAUAUCAAAUAUCCAUACGAUGGCCCUGGAAAGAGGCAAUCUACAUUUAUGGCUGAUGAGAAGAUGGAUUUUUAGCUUGAAAGAAACUUAUUACUGGGGAGAGGAAGUAUAAAUGAAUGGAGAGAGCUAUGAAGAGGUUGAGAGAAUACAGCCAAGGCACAUGACAGAAUUGCUCUGUUGAAGUUUUGCAAGGUCAAAUGACUCACUUUGUCUAAUGGAACGGGAACGAACAAUUUUUUUGUGUCACGUUUGAACAGAUACCUUUGAGAAGUUUAUGAUUCUCCAAGUUCUCUUUCUCCUACUGUGGCACCUACUGACAAGAUAAAUGUGUAGAGGUUCCUGAGUCUAGGGGCACUGGAACCAGCUGACUGAUCUAUGGAAGUUCCCUUGGUCUCCAUUUGUUUAGAAAAGGGAUGAAGAAACUGAGGCCCACAGAAGGUGGGUGAUACCUGCAAAAUCACAAGCUUUCAUGGUGAAAGAAGAGGGCAAAACUCAACCCGUCUCUUUAGACUUGGGAAGAAUAUGAAAGGACCAGGAGGGACACCUUUCCUAAUAACCUAGCUGAUGGUUCACUUAUUGUAAGCACAUUCUCAAACAAGGUGACAAUUAGGUUCAAAUAUCGUCUUUGAAACACAAAGUAGAUCUUACCCUUUUUAUCCUCUUAUUGCUAGUUUAGCUUCUACUGUUAGAAAGUUGAUUCUUAAUGUAAUAUUUGUCUAAGGGUCUGUUAUAGGAGUCCUAAACAGAUACAUCAGCCAUUUUAUGCUCCUAAAUGCAAGCCAGGAAAGAGCUAGAGAUAAAAGCAAAGAUGUUAAUUUAUGUAAAGUACUUAGCAUGGUUCCUGGCAAGAAUAACAAGUCAAUAAAUGAUAUUAAUAAUAAUACUAAUACUGUAAAUAAUACCUAACAAGGCUAUUUUUCUUAUUAUUUUUAAAAUUCAUACAGUCUCUAAAAUCUUCAGUUACUUGUUCCUCUCACAGUGUUCCAUACUACACCCUGGAGACACUGAUCAAGCAGAGAACUGUGUUUACUUGAUUGUCUGAAACAGCAGGCCGAUAUAGCAGUUGCAAGCAUCUUGAGCAAUUCUAUUCCAUAUAGAGACAUAAGAAACCGAGAGAAAGAGACACAAUACAU